GCAAAAAGUUAAUGUGUUUGGCUGCUAACUGAAAAGUUGGUGGUUCGAGUCCACC
rnacentral:tRNA from 1 species